rnacentral:rRNA from 1 species
UACGUAGGUGGCAAGCGUUGUCCGGAUUUACUGGGCGUAAAGGGCGUGCAGGCGGUUUGUUUAGUCUAGGGUGAAAGCUCCCGGCUUAACUGAGAGAGGUCCUUGGAUACUGGCAAACUUGAGGGAGGCAGAGGAAAGUGGAAUUCCCGGUGUAGUGGUGGAAUGCGUAGAUAUCGGGGGGAAUACCAGUGGCGAAAGCGGCACCCUAGCAUGAACCUGACGCUCAGGUGCGAAAGCGUGGGGAGCGAACGGG